rnacentral:rRNA from 1 species
UUGUAAUUUGUAGAGGAUACUUUUGAUGCGGUGCCUUCCGAGUUCCCUGGAACGGGACGCCAUAGAGGGUGAGAGCCCCGUCUGGUUGGAUGCCAAAUCUCUGUAAAGUUCCUUCGACGAGUCGAGUAGUUUGGGAAUGCUGCUCUAAAUGGGAGGUAUAUGUCUUCUAAAGCUAAAUACCGGCCAGAGACCGAUAGCGCACAAGUAGAGUGAUCGAAAGAUGAAAAGCACUUUGAAAAGAGAGUUAAAAAGUACGUGAAAUUGUUGAAAGGGAAGCGUUUAUGACCAGACUUGGGCUUGGUUAAUCAUCUGGGGUUCUCCCCAGUGCACUUUUCCAGUCCAGGCCAGCAUCAGUUUUCCCCGGGGGAUAAAGACUUCGGGAAUGUGGCUCUCUUCGGGGAGUGUUAUAGCCCGUUGUGUAAUACCCUGGGGGGGACUGAGGUUCGCGCAUCUGCAAGGAUGCUGGCGUAAUGGUCAUCAACGACCCGNCUUGAAACACGGACCAAGGAGUCGUCUUCGUAUGCGAGUGUUCGGGUGUCAAACCCCUACGCGUAAUGAAAGUGAACGCACGUGAGAGCUUCGGCGCAUCAUCGACCGAUCCUGAUGUUCUCGGAUGGA